UACAGAGGGGGCAAGCGUUGUUCGGAAUUACUGGGCGUAAAAGGCGCGUAGGCGGCCUUCUAAGUCGAACGUGAAAUCCCUGGGCUCAACCCAGGAACUGCGUCCGAUACUGGAAGGCUUGAAUCCGGGAGAGGGAUGCGGAAUUCCAGGUGUAGCGGUGAAAUGCGUAGAUAUCUGGAGGAACACCGGUGGCGAAGGCGGCAUCCUGGACCGGCAUUGACGCUGAGGCGCGAAAGCCAGGGGAGCAAACGGG
rnacentral:rRNA from 1 species